CCUACGGGAGGCUGCAGUGAGGAAUAUUGGUCAAUGGACGAGAGUCUGAACCAGCCAAGUAGCGUGAAGGAUGACUGCCCUAUGGGUUGUAAACUUCUUUUAUAUGGGAAUAAAAUGUUCCACGUGUGGGAUUUUGUAUGUACCAUAUGAAUAAGGAUCGGCUAACUCCGUGCCAGCAGCCGCGGUAAUACGGAGGAUCCGAGCGUUAUCCGGAUUUAUUGGGUUUAAAGGGAGCGUAGGUGGAUUGUUAAGUCAGUUGUGAAAGUUUGCGGCUCAACCGUAAAAUUGCAGUUGAAACUGGCAGUCUUGAGUACAGUAGAGGUGAGCGGAAUUCGUGGUGUAGCGGUGAAAUGCUUAGAUAUCACGAAGAACACCGGUUGCGAAGGCAGUUCACUGGACUGCAACUGACACUGAGGCUCGAAAGUGUGGGUAUCAAACAGGAUUAGAUACCCUUGUAGUC
rnacentral:rRNA from 1 species